AAAGUCGCCGCGGUGGGCACCUGAGGCGGUUUUCCCCCUUAUACCUGGGUGGUGGUGGUGCGACGUUUUGUGGGAACGUCUGCCCCACUGUUCCCUCUACGUUGGGGUUAUCAACGUUCACAUUACAGGAUGCCCGAAGAAGCAACAGCUCAAGAUAACAAUGAUGUGGUUGUGAAGAAGAGACGUGGCAGACCACCCAAAAGUGAUAAGGUGGCCGCGAAGGUACCCGAGAAGCGCAAGAUGGCUGACUCGGGAGCGGCGGAUGGGGAGGAGGGUGCUCAACAGCCUGCUCCUGCCAAGAAAAGGGGUCGACCCCGUAAAGUGGGUGGACCAGCCAAGAAAGCAGCCAAGCCCCGCGGGCGUCCGCCCAAGAAAGCGCCGAAGAAGGCCGACUCGGCCGAGGAGUCCGAGUGAGCCGCGGGGCGCCGCUGGGUCCGCCGCUCCGCGUGCUCUCCUGAAGCCGGAUGAGGCGCGCGCCGACAGUCGUCCCCGUCUGCAGUCGGCGGCGCACCAGCGAGCAUGGGCGCCGAGGCGGGCCGACCGUCAGCGGCGGCGCUCAGCUUCAGAGACGAGCCCGGCCGUGGGCCCAUCCCCUGUCCGUUUCCGGGCGCCUCCAUGAAAUACACAAUACUUCCUGUCCGUUCCGAGCGCGGGCGACCGCCAGUCCGCGGACGCAGUUUCAGGAGUGUGCCGGUGUGUGUUGGCGUUUGUGUGUUUGUGUGUGUCGGUCUGUGUCGGUAGCCGUGUCGUCUGGUUGUGUGCCACAGGGUACUGCGUCAGCAGCGCGCCGCCCCCUCUUCGGCGGGGGCGGACUGUGUUCGUGUCACGGCUGGAGUCUGUAGCUGGACCGCAGCUGACAGAGGCCGUCAGGGCAUCCCGAGCUUUUCAGGCGCGGAGUCGCGCGUAGCUUUUCUCGCUAAUCGUCGAGGUGCAAUACAAGUAAUCUCGUAUGUACUUCCCUUAUGUGUCCACCGUUGCAUGUGGACUCCUUCAUGACGGAAUUACCCGGUGUGCUAGCGACACCACUGAGCUUUGCUUUCGGGUGAGAUGACCACCCGUUCGCUGUCGUUCAUUGAAUAAUAAAUGAUCCUUACAUGUU
rnacentral:lncRNA from 1 species